UCUUUUUCUCUCCUUCUCCCUCUCUUCUGACUCCCUCCUCACUUCAGCCAUAUCCAAUUCCCCACUUCAUUUAUAAUCUAUUUCAGUUUCACCUCUAGCCUCCCCAACACUUCCACAACAUUGUAUUUUUUUAAGCAAUUUCAACUUCUUGGCAAGACUUUAAGAAAGUCUCCCCUCCACCACCAACCAAUCACUUUAUCCCCAAAAUCAAUCACACUUAGCCAUACGUUCUCAAAUCUAAAAAAAGAUCCCUCCAUCUUCCUCUACAUUUCUUUUGAAUAGUAGUAAUGUAUUCUUCAACAUUAAGGAUAUGCUGGAGACCUCCAAAAAUUAUAGUGUGAGAAAUAUAUGAGAAGAAUAUUAUUGAAUUGUUGUUGUUUACAUUAUUACAUUGAGACCCUAUUUAUAGACCCUAGAAUACAAUCCUUUACCAAGUAGGAUACUAUUUAGUAUUCCUAUUUCUAUUUCUAUUCCUAUUCCUGUUCUAAUAGGAUUGUAUAAAUUUAUUCCUAUUUUAAUAGGAUUGUAUAAACCUAUUCCUUUUCUAAUAGGAUUGUAUAAACCUAUUCCUUUUCUAAUAGGAUUGUAUAAACCUAUUCCUUUUCUAAUAGGAUUGUAUAAACCUAUUCCUUUUCUAAUAGGAUUGUAUAAACCUAUUCCUUUUCUAAUAGGAUUGUAUAAACCUAUUCCUUUUCUAAUAGGAUUGUAUAAACCUAUUCCUUUUCUAAUAGGAUUGUAUAAACCUAUUCCUUUUCUAAUAGGAUUGUAUAAACCUAUUCCUUUUCUAAUAGGAUUGUAUAAACCUAUUCCUUUUCUAAUAGGAUUGUAUAAACCUAUUCCUUUUCUAAUAGGAUUGUAUAAACCUAUUCCUUUUCUAAUAGGAUUGUAUAAACCUAUUCCUUUUCUAAUAGGAUUGUAUAAACCUAUUCCUUUUCUAAUAGGAUUGUAUAAACCUAUUCCUUUUCUAAUAGGAUUGUAUAAACCUAUUCCUUUUCUAAUAGGAUUGUAUAAACCUAUUCCUUUUCUAAUAGGAUUGUAUAAACCUAUUCCUUUUCUAAUAGGAUUGUAUAAACCUAUUCCUAUUCUAACACUCCCCCUCAAGCUAGUGCAUACAAUUCAACCCUACUGAAAAAAGAAAAAUUAUAUGGGUAGGGUCGGAAUGAUGGCACAACCCUACGCAAAUCAGAUUUGAGGAGUCACCGAAAAGACGAAUGGAACUAUGCAAAUCAAAUCUGAGUACACAUGAUGCUAUGCAACUCAGCUAUGAGAAAAUAGUUCGGAAAAAUCCACGAUACUACGCAAAUUAAAUAUGAAAAGUAGUCCGAAGAGAUGCACAGUGCUACGCAAAUCAGAUAUGCAAAAAAGGUAGUCACCGAAAGGAUGGCACGGUGCUACAAAAAUUAUAUAUGAAAAAGUAGUCACUGAAAUGAUGGCACAGUGCUACACAAAUUAAAUAUGAAAAAGUAAUCACCGAAAAGAUGGCACGGUGCUACAAGUUAGCUAUAAGAAAGUAGUCACCAGAAUGAUGGCAUGGUGCUUACAUAAAUCAAAUAUGAGAAAAUAGUCACCAGAAAGAUACACGGUGACCCAACUUUUGCUAACAUAAUUGUUGGCCAGACGGGCGGCAUAUAUGAGUAAUAGCCAACCGCCGGCAGCGGAAGCACUUUGAUUGUUUACCAAGAUCGUAGAGGCUCUAAUACCAUGUGAGAAAUAUAGGAAAAGAAUAUUAUUGAAUUGUUGUGAAUUGUUGUUGUUUACAUUAUUACAUUGAGACCCUAUUUAUAGACCCUAGAAUACAAUCCUUUACCAAGUAGGAUACUAUUUAGUAUUCCUAUUUCUAUUUCUAUUUCUAUUCCUGUUCUAAUAGGAUUGUAUAAACUUAUUCCUAUUCUAAUAGGGUUGUAUAAACCUACAAUUUCUCCCUCUACUUCCUCCUCCCCAACAUGCAUCACCCCAUUUUAACAACUCUAUGAAGUUCUUUUGUGUAUUCUCGACUAAUACCCAUAUAAAUUUUUUGUAUUUGAGUCCCCCUCAUUUAACCAUAGCGCCUUCGAUCUUUCUCCAACUCACCUCUUGGACCAAGGCUGAAUUGGCUAACUCCCUUUCCAACCCCUUUUUUCUCUCCUCCCUCUCUUCUAACUCCCUCCUCACUUCAGCCAUAUCUAAUUCCCCACUUCAUUUAUAAUCUAUUUCAGUUUCACCUCUAGCCUCCCCAACACUUCCACAACAUUGUAUUUUUUUAAGCAAUUUCAACUUCUUGGCAAGACUUUAAGGAAAGUCUCCCCUCCACUGCAUAACUCCAUCACCAACCAAUCACUUUAUCCCCAAAAUCAAUCACACUUAGCCACACGUUCUCAAAUCUAAAAAAAGAUCCCUCCAUCUUCCUCUACAUUUCUUUUGAAUAGUGGUAAUGUACUCUUCAACAUUAAGGAUAUGCUGGAGACCUCCAAAAAUUAUAGUAAUCCUAACAAAUCUAUUAACUGUUCAACAUCCUCUACUCAUUCUUCUUUACACCAAAAGUAAAAGGUU
rnacentral:lncRNA from 1 species